rnacentral:rRNA from 1 species
GAUGAACGCUAGCUACAGGCUUAACACAUGCAAGUCGAGGGGAAACGGCAUUGAGUGCUUGCACUCUUUGGACGUCGACCGGCGCACGGGUGAGUAACGCGUAUCCAACCUUCCCAUUACUGUGGGAUAACCUGCCGAAAGGCAGACUAAUACCGCAUAGUCUUCGAUGACGGCAUCAGAUUUGAAGUAAAGAUUUAUCGGUAAUGGAUGGGGAUGCGUCUGAUUAGCUUGUUGGCGGGGUAACGGCCCACCAAGGCUACGAUCAGUAGGGGUUCUGAGAGGAAGGUCCACCACAUUGGAACUGAGACACGGUCCAAACUCCUACGGGAGGCAGCAGUGAGGAAUAUUGGUCAAUGGACGGAAGUCUGAACCAGCCAAGUAGCGUGAAGGAUGACGGCCCUAUGGGUUGUAAACUGCUUUUGUAUGGGGAUAAAGUUAGGGACGUGUCCCUAUUUGCAGGUACCAUACGAAUAAGGACCGGCUAAUUCCGUG